CACGUAGGGCGCAAGCGUUGUCCGGAAUUAUUGGGCGUAAAGAGCUCGUAGGCGGUCUGUUGCGUCUGCUGUGAAAACCCGGGGCUUAACCCCUGGCUUGCAGUGGAUACGGACAGACUAGAGGUAGGUAGGGGAGAAUGGAAUUCCAGGUGUAGCGGUGAAAUGCGCAGAUAUCGGGAGGAACACCGGUGGCGAAGGCGGUUCUCUGGGCCUUACCUGACGCUGAGGAGCGAAAGCGUGGGGAGCGAACAGG
rnacentral:rRNA from 1 species